rnacentral:piRNA from 1 species
UGUACUAGGGAUUGAACUCUGUCUCAUGC